rnacentral:rRNA from 1 species
CUCGUAGGCGGCCAACUAAGUCAGACGUGAAAUCCCUCGGCUUAACCGGGGAACUGCGUCUGAUACUGGAUGGCUUGAGUUUGGGAGAGGGAUGCGGAAUUCCAGGUGUAGCGGUGAAAUGCGUAGAUAUCUGGAGGAACACCGGUGGCGAAGGCGGCAUCCUGGACCAACACUGACGCUGAUGAGCGAAAGCCAGGGGUAGCAAACG